AUUGAACGCUGGCGGCAGGCCUAACACAUGCAAGUCGAGCGGUGCGGCGGACGGGUGAGUAAUGCCUGGGAAUCUGCCUGGUAGUGGGGGAUAACGUCCGGAAACGGGCGCUAAUACCGCAUCCUAUCAGAUGAGCCUAGGGCGGAUUGGCUAGUUGGUGGGGUAAAGGGCUACCAGGGCGACGAUCCGUAACUGGUCUGAGAGGAUGAUCGGUCACACUGGAACUGAGACACGGUCAAGACUCCGACGUGAGGAAGCAGUGGGGAAUAUUGGACAAUGGGCGAAAGCCUGAUCCAGCCAUGCCGCGUGUGUGAAGAAGGUCUUCGGAUUGUAAAGCACUUUAAGUUGGGAGGCGUUACCAACAGAAUAAGCACCGGCUAACUACGUGCCAGCAGCCGCGGUAAUUC
rnacentral:rRNA from 1 species